rnacentral:rRNA from 1 species
UGGGGAAUAUUGCACAAUGGAGGGAACUCUGAUGCAGCGACGCCGCGUGAACGAAGAAGGCUUUCGAGUCGUAAAGUUCUUUUAUAUGGGAAGAUAAUGACGGUACCAUAAGAAGAAGCCCCGGCUAACUACGUGCCAGCAGCCGCGGUAAUACGUAGGGGGCUAGCGUUGUCCGGAAUCACUGGGCGUAAAGGGUUCGCAGGCGGAAAUGCAAGUCAGGUGUAAAAGGCAGUAGCUUAACUACUGUAAGCAUUUGAAACUGCAUAUCUUGAGAAGAGUAGAGGUAAGUGGAAUUUUUAGUGUAGCGGUGAAAUGCGUAGAUAUUAAAAAGAAUACCGGUGACGAAGGCGACUUACUGGGCUCAUUCUGACGCUGAGGAACGAAAGCGUGGGUAGCAAACAGG